CAGGCACCACCAUUCACCGCUGUGUGUCCAUCACUGUACUCACCGGAUUCAUCCCCUUGAGCACAUCAUUAGGAGCAACGGUCAGGUUUUUUGGACGGAUAGGAUUGAAAAGAAGACAACUGGGCCAGGACUUCACCUGGUCAAAGGACACUGAUGGCGAGCCUUUCCCAGAGCGACCACGGAUACCCUUAAGUACCCUACAAAGGAACUUUCCCCCCCUUUUUCCACUUUUUACCAUUUCUAUUUUGUUUAAGGCCCCGGGACCAUUGUUUAUUUUAAGUGUGCACACUGUUUUAUUUUAUUUGGGUUUUUAUACACUUCAAACAUUUUGUAAACAAUAUACGAGUUUUCACUCAAAAAGGAA